UAACUAUUAAUAGUACCCGAAACCGAAACUGGUCGUUUAUGGUUAUUUUAGACGUUGACAAUUUUCCUAGAAAUAAGUCUUGCUAUGAAAUGAAUUUAAAUCCAUUUGCAGAACAGAAAUAAGAAACGUUGUUGAUUAACUCAAUUCAUGGGACUUGAUUUUCAAAAAAUGAGAUUACUUGAUAAUUAUAUAGGGUAACUAUUAGACAGCCCACGUAUAGUUCUUCCAAACCAAGGCUCGAGACUAUUUACUUCAACUUGCUGUUCAUAUGACACAUGUUUUGAAAAAUUGGUUGAUUCUGCAUAUGCUGUAUAUAACGUUUGUGCACAUACUCUUUCCAUGUCAACUGCAUACACAGUCAAAGAUGGACAUAUUCAUCAAUUGUUCGCCACCCCACCCCCCUGGAACCAGGUGUUUUUCAAAACGAACGGAUAUUCUAAAACGUAUAAGGAUAGCACACUACUAUUAGGAGGUUCAGCGUCCAAGUCUCACCGUCCAUUUCAGCCUCGUUCUGAGAAAACGGGGCUUGAUGUAUGUGUCGUCCCAGAAUACCCUGUGCAGUCCGCACUUGGUUAAACAGUUUCUGAACGUAGUUUUGGAACAAUAUUGUGUUGUUUUUUUUUCUAGUUCAGCGCUGUGUACAGUCUAUAUUUUCAACUUAAAAAAACACAUUAACCUGCCAAAGUUUAUCAAUCUAUUGAAUGUGCAAAAUUCUAUUGAACAAUGCUCUGUUUUCUUCAUGGCUGGCGAGUUAAAGAUCGUUUUACUUAAUUGUUGUCUCAAAACUGACAAUUUGCCAACACUGGUACAAAACAUUCAAAAAAUAGAUACGUACUUUAAAUAUUUCAGAAAUGUUAAGACCACCGCAAUGUCUCGUCGGUGCAUCAUUUUAUCACCAUUAUCAAUCAUAACGCUUUAUGUUUGCCGCGGCGCGAGAGGGCAUAAUAAUGUAAUUACAAGUGAAAAGAUUAUUUAGUAUACUGUAACCUGUAAAUAUUUUUAGCGUUUGCGGUCAGAAGUUAAGCAUCACCAACCGAAACAGUGAAAACAAAUAAUACCAUGGAUUACGCGAAACCUGCGAUUACUCGAGCAUCGAGGACAGUCCCGUGCUAUCUUGAGUUAUCGCAGUUCAACUGUAAUUACUAUUUCAAUUUUAAGAUUUUGUUAAAAAAAAUAAACAAGGCAUGGAGCAAAA